UGAUACACAAAACAUCUACUCAUAUUUGACUACAAAUCCGCUAACCAAUCUUUUUAAAGU
rnacentral:sRNA from 1 species